rnacentral:lncRNA from 1 species
GUUUUCCUACUGGCUUUUUUCUUUCCUUUAAUGAAACUAAUUUGUUUAACAUAUUCUUUUCUUUUCUUUUGACAUAUUCUUUUAUAUUCUUAUAACCAUUUUAAAGCCUCUGUGUAUUUCAAUUGAGUUUACCCGGCGAUAAAUAUUGAAUAAUAGCGCGAGAAAAACGCGCCAGAAGUUCUAGAUUUUCCCCUCAAAUCAAACUGCGCGCUUUUUACGCAGAGCAAAACUUUCUUGUAUUCAGCGCCCUCUUGCGACGCUGGAGCUUGUUCCAUUAUGCGACAGAGGCGGAUAAUAGCCACGGAGAAUCGCCUUUGUUGCACAGCGCUUCAGCGGAAUACUGUGCUUGUACAAUAGUGAAAAUCGAUUCAAAUAUCGCAAUAGACUAAUUUUGCUGUAAUGAAAACUUAACUAUUUAAUAAUCAUGAUUUUAUAUUAACUUUAACGGUGAAACAAAAUAAUUAAAUGCCUAAUUAUACUGCACUGCAUAUAUACAUCGCCACGGCGAAUUCUUCCCCCGGGAUAGAGAGGAGAACAUUGUGAAGUGGACUAAAUGAAAAAUAUACAGUGUAUGGGUUAGUAAACAAUUUUACCAUUGUUCCUAAUAACUAAUGAUAAAUUAUAUAAAAAGCAAUUAAUCUUCUUUAUUGACAAGGGAAUUGCGCUUGUCUCCAACUACUUACUACACUUAAUUACUUGGUUUGCGCACUUCUUAUCCAAGCAACACUUCUAAGGGUAAUAGUAAUUUAUUUAGUAACAUUAGUAAUUUGGUUAAUAUCAGUGAUAACUAGUUUAUUAUAGGUGAUUAAUAUGCGUAAUUGUCAAUUGAGUAGUUAGCAAAUAGUUUUAUUUUCCCCCCUCUUCUUUUGACAAUAUUACAAACAUUUGGAUUUAUUUUUUGUCCUAUAUUUUGAGAACAAAUUUAUUUGGUUAGAUUUAAAUAUUUAUUUAAAUUUUACUUUUAUUGUUAGUAUUUUUAUAAUUUGAGAUUAUUUUUAACAUGGUAUUAAUUAAUAAUAAUUAUUAAUAUUUUUUUUUUUCCUGUUUGCAAUUCAGGCGAUUUAUGCAAAUUAACUACAAGUUUUUGUUGGUAAACAGCAAGUUUAAUUUUUAGUUAUUGACUUUUAGGUUAUAGCUUAUAUAAAAAUAAUCGCCAGCUUGUACGCAGAAUAGAGGUGAUAUCUCGGCAAGUAAAAACGGCGACUCGGUUUCGAAUCCCGGUCAAAGCUAUUUCCUUUUUUUUCGAGCAAUAAUAAUUCUUCUGAUAUACAUACAUAAAUCUUAGAAAAUAUUCUCUAGUUUAAUAUCACCGAGAACACAACACACACAGACGUGUAUAUAUAUAUAUAUAUAUAUAUAUAUAUAUAUAUAUAUAUAUACAUGCACAUGUAUAGAGCUACUAGAUUGUAAACGUUAUGCGUCCCUUUCUUAUAGAAUUCUUAUCAACAGUUUUUAUCAUUUUAUUUCAUCCUAGCAGAAUAUGAACUUAUAAAAUAAAAACCCCUGUGCCUGGUGAGUUGUGAUGGAUUAGCUUACCACCCACCAGCGUGUCAUGCAACUCUUACACACAUACAUAACAACAUUAAUCAAAAAAAAAAAAAACGUAGGACAUUAAACUUAUAGCUAAGUAACCAAAUCUUAUAUUAACCUUAUACAGACAUACAUCUCUGCUAUUUUCUAAAUCUCCUGUAAUUUUGACAGUAAAGUGUGAGAACGUAGAUAAACGGAAAUCGAUUAACAUACAAGCUUGGCUGUUAUUUCGUAUUGUUUUUCUUCUUUCAUAAGGAAAUUUCAUUUAUUAGUGCUUUACAAUUUAUUUCAUGUAUUCUACAUUGAGUUACUACGUUGCUUUGUAUUAUUGUCCAGUUUACAUAUUACUUAUUGUUCAGUAUAAAACCAGCUGCAUGUUCAUUUACAUUUUGAAGCAUGAAUGCACGCCAUACCCUGUAUACUAUUACAGACUGUAUGAAGAAAAAAAAAUUAUUUAGCACACAUACAUACGCAUACACGUGUGUAUGCAUGUUUGUAUGUAUAUAUAUAUAUAUAUAUAUAUAUAUAUAUAUAUAUAUAUGCAUGUGUGUGUGUGUGUGUGUUGUCAAUCAGGCUGACUCUUUAAUCCUCUGUUAUAUUUGCAAUAAUAACGUGCUAGAUAAAAAGAAACCGUCAAAGGGUGAACAUAAUUAUUUUCAAUAGCAGAUAUUUCUUUGCAAAACAGCAUUCUUAACGUAAAAUAAUAAAGGUUUUAGAACACACGCAUACACACACAAAUACGUAUAUACAUACAUGUAAGUGUGUGUGUGUGCGCGCGUUUGGGAUAUCUAUGAAUACACUCCUGUAAUAUGUUUAGAUAGUUCUUUGUAACACGCCUUAAUAUUUAUUUCACUAUGCGUAUCAUUCGGUGGUGGCCUCGUUAUUAGAUCCUUCUGCUAGUUGUUUCGAUACGAAAUCCCAUCAUCUUAUAAUCAUACAACGUGAUUUAAAACGUUUUCCUUUUUUAACUGGGACACAUUAAGGAAAAUAAACGUGUUUUGCUGCACUUUGUGCAUAAAUUAGAUAGAAAAAAUGAAAUUUGUACAUUUUAGCCUAUAAUAUUAAUUACAAAGAAUAUCAACUACUUACUUCUUUAUUCAAUAAACGACGCACAAUUAUCAACGUUUUUAUAUUUAGAAUAUUAGUUGGUAGUUUUCUCAUUUUUAGAAUAGAAAUCUGUUAUUUUCCUGCCGCACCUAGUUACGUUUCGCGUCAGGUCUACUGCUAUAGCGCUUUCCUUAUAGCAGAAUACCAUCGCUUCACUCUGUUAAUACUAUGUGCAGGGAGAUAACUCUGAUUGAUUGUAACGGGAAAUCACUAGGCUACUUAGUUGUGUCACACAAAACAGAAUAGCAGACGCGAAGAAAAAGGCCUCGAAAAAUAUAUAUAAAGGAAAAAACCGCUAUAAAUUUAUUGAUGCUCAUGCCUUUGUGAACAUCAUUAACCAACUUUAGUGCAUCUUAGUAUUUGGAUAAUGAACUGAAUCUGCUAAAUGGAAAUAAAACUCAUUUGCCUCCUAUUUAAUUUAAUUAAAUUGCUAAAAUUUUCCAAGCUUAUUCAGCGGUUGAAGAACAUUUAAUUGCUGUCCUUUUGUUAAUAUUUUUUAGUUUAUGAUAUUAUUUUUAAAAAAAACCUUAGUAUUGAAAGCAAGAAACUGUUUUCAUUUUAGUUUUUCCAUCAUUGGUAAUUAACCAAUCUUUAUUAAUUAUGAAAAGCAAAAUAUGAUUAAUAUUAAUAAAUAUGAAAUGUUAAAUUCUCAGUCUAAUUAAAUGAUUUUCAUUCUUCCAUUUAAUUAACCGCUCGAUUACGUACGAUUGCUUGCUAUAAUACGUUGUAAUAUAUUAAUAAAUAAAUAAAAUCACACCAGUCGUUAUUUGUUCCAAGUUAAUAUUUUGUAAUAUUUUACAUUAAGACGCAAGGAUGGUCUAAUUUGGUGAAGAAUUUCGCUUUGCAGCCACAUGGUUUUGAGUCCAGUCCCAAAAGUCGGCAUCUUGGGCAGGUGUCUAUUACUAUACUUCUCGGCCGACCAAUGCUUUGUGAGUGAGUUUGGUUGACAAAAACCGUGUGGUAGUUAGUUCGUCAAUGGAAUACAUGGAUUCAUAUAUGCGUGUUUGUGUUUGGUCUCAAUUCACCGUUUGAUAACCGGCGUUAAUGUUUACGACACCACAAAUUAGCGGUUCGGUAAAAGAUAUCAACAGAAUAAGCAUAAAUUUUUUUUUCUUUUUAAUUAGUACUAGGGUCGAGUUGUUUGACUAAACAUUUCAUGGUGGAGUCCCAGAAUGUUAAAAAAAUCAAAGAGUAGAAAAAGCAAAAGAUGAAAUAUUAUCAGUCUUUUAGUGUUUCACAGGUUUCAUUUGUUAAUCUGCGGCUGUACUUGGUGGGUAGAGUCUUCAGUCGGAUUAGUGAACCAUAUCGUUCCUUGUAUUUGUCUCACCCUGUUAUUUACACAGUUAUAGGAAACACUCAUUCAUCAAGGAAAACGAUAUAUAUAUAUAUAUAUAUAUAUAUAUAUAUAUAUAUAUAUAUAUAUAUAUAUGUAUGUAUAAUGGAGUGAAGUGUUAUAUAUAUAUGUGUGUGUGUGUGUGUGUAUACAUAUAUAUAUAUACACACACACAUACAUACAUUCAUACAUACAUACGUACGUACGUACAUAUAUAUAUAUAUAUAUAUAUAUAUAUCACUUCACUCCAUUAUAUAACUAUCCUUUAUUUAUAUAUAUAUAUAUAUAUAUAUAUAUACACACAUACAUACAUACACACACACACACACACACACACACAUAUAUAUAUAUAUAUAUAUAUAUACAUCACUUCACUCCAUUAGAUAACUAUCCUUUAUCUUUGUAUAUAUACAUACAUACAUACAUACAUACAUAUAUAUAUAUAUAUAUAUAUGUAUGUAUGUAUGUAUGUAUGUAUGUAUGUAUGUAUGUAUGUAUGUAUGCAUAUGCAUAUCAAUAUAUCAUUUAUUUAUCAACGGUUGACUAGGAGAGCAAUGGGUAAAAUAAAAGAAAAAUGCCACACUUCCUCCUGUUCACUGUGUUCUGGGGUUCAAAUCACACAUCGGUCAGAUUUGCUUGUGUCUGUAUUUCAUACGGGUUCGAUAGUGAAAGUAAAAGUUAAGUAAAGAAGUGGACUUUACUGUUUUACUGCGGGAAUCGGUUACUUUAUACUGUUUGAAAGAUCAUGGGGCAGGGGUGCCAAUGACAGAGUAGAACAUGUCUCUAACGACCCCUUCUUAGAGAAAAACUUUGGCGAUUCUAAAACUGCCAAAGGGCAAUACUACAUAUGCUGAACUGAAAGUGAUCACGUAUCACACACACACAUGACAAUUAUAAGCACUUUUCUAGUAUAUAGUACGUGCGCGUGUGUACGUAUAUAUAUAUAUAUCAUAUAUAUAUAUGUAUGUAUGUAUGUAUGUAUGUAUGUAUGUAUGUAUGUAUGUAUGUAUGUAUGUAUGUAUGUGUGUGU